GGUUAAGCGACUAAGCGUACACGGUGGAUGCCCUGGCAGUCAGAGGCGAUGAAGGGCGUGCUAAUCUGCGAUAAGCGCCGGUAAGGUGAUAUGAACCGUUAUAACCGGCGAUACCCGAAUGGGGAAACCCAGUGUGAUUCGUCACACUAUCAUUAACUGAAUCCAUAGGUUAAUGAGGCGAACCGGGGGAACUGAAACAUCUAAGUACCCCGAGGAAAAGAAAUCAACCGAGAUUCCCCCAGUAGCGGCGAGCGAACGGGGAGGAGCCCAGAGCCUGAAUCAGCAUGUGUGUUAGUGGAAGCGUCUGGAAAGGCGCGCGAUACAGGGUGACAGCCCCGUACACAAAAGCGUAUGUGCUGUGAGCUCGAUGAGUAGGGCGGGACACGUGGUAUCCUGUCUGAAUAUGGGGGGACCAUCCUCCAAGGCUAAAUACUCCUGACUGACCGAUAGUGAACCAGUACCGUGAGGGAAAGGCGAAAAGAACCCCGGCGAGGGGAGUGAAAAAGAACCUGAAACCGUGUACGUACAAGCAGUGGGAGCACCCUU
rnacentral:rRNA from 1 species